rnacentral:rRNA from 1 species
UAGGGAAUAUUGGACAAUGGGUGCGAGCCUGAUCCAGCCAUGCCGCGUGCAGGAAGACGGCCUUCUGGGUUGUAAACUGCUUUUGCCAGGGGAUAAAAAGUCCCUGCGGGGAAAAUUGAAGGUACCUGGUGAAUAAGCCACGGCUAACUACGUGCCAGCAGCCGCGGUAAUACGUAGGUGGCAAGCGUUGUCCGGAUUUAUUGGGUUUAAAGGGGGCGUAGGUUGUUUUGUAAGUCAGUGGUGAAAUCCGGCAGCUCAACUGUCGAUGUGCCAUUGAUACUGCAGAACUUGAGUACAGACGAGGUAGGCGGAAUUGACGGUGUAGCGGUGAAAUGCUUAGAUAUCGUCAAGAACACCGAUAGCGAAGGCAGCUUACUAGACUGUAACUGACACUGAUGCACGAAAGUGUGGGGAUCAAACA